ensembl:lncRNA
GGAUGCAGCAUGCAAAAGUUGUGGGGUCAGGAAGCUUCCUACCCAGAUUUCAGAAGGCCUGGGAAGCCAGACAGUUUGGCCCUGAGAAGGCAGUGUGAGUCUGUAAGAGUGAAGCCAAAACUGCAGGGGAGACCCCAGAAAGCUGGAGAAGCCAGGAACAUGGAACAGUAUCACUAGAUCCAGCCACUUUCAGAAAGCCCGUCUAUGACUGCAUAAGGCCUUGAGGGGACAUCUAGAUCCAAGCCAAAACAUCAGUCUUUUUAAACUAGUCAUACUGUGACAGGUGUCCUUACAAGAGGAGAGGACAUGAAGAUACACAGAGGAGAAGGCAAUGUGAAGACAGGCGUGGAGAUUGGAGUGAUGAAGAUACAAACCGGGAGAUGCCAAGGACUGUUGGGAGCCACCAGAAGUUAGGAGGCAGCAGGGGGAUCCUUUACUGGAGCCCAGAGAGAGGCAGGG